rnacentral:rRNA from 1 species
CCGGCGAUGUCCGAAUGGGGAAACCCAGUGCAAUUCGUUGCACUAUCGUUAACUGAAUACAUAGGUUAACGAGGCGAACCGGGGGAACUGAAACAUCUAAGUACCCCGAGGAAAAGAAAUCAACCGAGAUUCCCCCAGUAGCGGCGAGCGAACGGGGAGCAGCCCAGAGUCUGAAUCAGCUUGUGUGUUAGUGGAACGGUCUGGAAAGUCCGACGGUACAGGGUGAUAGUCCCGUACACCAAAAUGCACAGGCUGUGAACUCGAAGAGUAGGGCGGGACACGUGGUAUCCUGUCUGAAUAUGGGGGGACCAUCCUCCAAGGCUAAAUACUCCUGACUGACCGAUAGUGAACCAGUACCGUGAGGGAAAGGCGAAAAGAACCCCGGCGAGGGGAGUGAAAAAGAACCUGAAACCGUGUACGUACAAGCAGUGGGAGCACCUUCGGGUGUGACUGCGUACCUUUUGUAUAAUGGGUCAGCGACUUAUAUUCUGUAGCAAGGUUAACCGUAUAGGGGAGCCGCAGGGAAACCGAGUCUUAACUGGGCGUUAAGUUGCAGGGUAUAGACCCGAAACCCGGUGAUCUAGCCAUGGGCAGGUUGAAGGUUGGGUAACACUAACUGGAGGACCGAACCGACUAAUGUUGAAAAAUUAGCGGAUGACUUGUGGCUGGGGGUGAAAGGCCAAUCAAACCGGGAGAUAGCUGGUUCUCCCCGAAAGCUAUUUAGGUAGCGCCUCGUGAACUCAUCUUCGGGGGUAGAGCACUGUUUCGGCUAGGGGGUCAUCCCGACUUACCAACCCGAUGCAAACUACGAAUACCGAAGAAUGUUAUCACGGGAGACACACGGCGGGUGCUAACGUCCGUCGUGAAGAGGGAAACAACCCAGACCGCCAGCUAAGGUCCCAAAGUCAUGGUUAAGUGGGAAACGAUGUGGGAAGGCACAGACAGCCAGGAUGUUGGCUUAGAAGCAGCCAUCAUUUAAAGAAAGCGUAAUAGCUCACUGGUCGAGUCGGCCUGCGCGGAAGAUGUAACGGGGCUAAACCAUGCACCGAAGCUGCGGCAGCGACACUAUGUGUUGUUGGGUAGGGGAGCGUUCUGUAAGCCUGCGAAGGUGUGCUGUGAGGCAUGCUGGAGGUAUCAGAAGUGCGAAUGCUGACAUAAGUAACGAUAAAGCGGGUGAAAAGCCCGCUCGCCGGAAGACCAAGGGUUCCUGUCCAACGUUAAUCGGGGCAGGGUGAGUCGACCCCUAAGGCGAGGCCGAAAGGCGUAGUCGAUGGGAAACAGGUUAAUAUUCCUGUACUUGGUGUUACUGCGAAGGGGGGACGGAGAAGGCUAUGUUAGCCGGGCGACGGUUGUCCCGGUUUAAGCAUGUAGGCUGAUUGUCCAGGCAAAUCCGGAUAAUCAAGGCUGAGGUGUGAUGACGAGGCACUACGGUGCUGAAGUAACAAAUGCCCUGCUUCCAGGAAAAGCCUCUAAGCAUCAGGUAACAUUAAAAUCGUACCCCAAACCGACACAGGUGGUCAGGUAGAGAAUACCAAGGCGCUUGAGAGAACUCGGGUGAAGGAACUAGGCAAAAUGGUGCCGUAACUUCGGGAGAAGGCACGCUGGUGUGUAGGUGAAGUCCCUGCGGAUGGAGCUGAGACCAGUCGAAGAUACCAGCUGGCUGCAACUGUUUAUUAAAAACACAGCACUGUGCAAACACGAAAGUGGACGUAUACGGUGUGACGCCUGCCCGGUGCCGGAAGGUUAAUUGAUGGGGUUAUCCGUAAGGAGAAGCUCUUGAUCGAAGCCCCGGUAAACGGCGGCCGUAACUAUAACGGUCCUAAGGUAGCGAAAUUCCUUGUCGGGUAAGUUCCGACCUGCACGAAUGGCGUAAUGAUGGCCAGGCUGUCUCCACCCGAGACUCAGUGAAAUUGAACUCGCUGUGAAGAUGCAGUGUACCCGCGGCAAGACGGAAAGACCCCGUGAACCUUUACUAUAGCUUGACACUGAACAUUGAGCCUUGAUGUGUAGGAUAGGUGGGAGGCUUUGAAGCGUGGACGCCAGUCUGCGUGGAGCCAACCUUGAAAUACCACCCUUUAAUGUUUGAUGUUCUAACGUUGGCCCCUGACCGGGGUUGCGGACAGUGUCUGGUGGGUAGUUUGACUGGGGCGGUCUCCUCCCAAAGCGUAACGGAGGAGCACGAAGGUUAGCUAAUCCUGGUCGGACAUCAGGAGGUUAGUGCAAUGGCAUAAGCUAGCUUGACUGCGAGCGUGACGGCGCGAGCAGGUGCGAAAGCAGGUCAUAGUGAUCCGGUGGUUCUGAAUGGAAGGGCCAUCGCUCAACGGAUAAAAGGUACUCCGGGGAUAACAGGCUGAUACCGCCCAAGAGUUCAUAUCGACGGCGGUGUUUGGCACCUCGAUGUCGGCUCAUCACAUCCUGGGGCUGAAGUAGGUCCCAAGGGUAUGGCUGUUCGCCAUUUAAAGUGGUACGCGAGCUGGGUUUAGAACGUCGUGAGACAGUUCGGUCCCUAUCUGCCGUGGGCGCUGGAGAAUUGAGGGGGGCUGCUCCUAGUACGAGAGGACCGGAGUGGACGCAUCACUGGUGUUCGGGUUGUCAUGCCAAUGGCACUGCCCGGUAGCUAAAUGCGGAAGAGAUAAGUGCUGAAAGCAUCUAAGCACGAAACUUGCCCCGAGAUGAGUUCUCCCUGAGACU